rnacentral:pre_miRNA from 1 species
UCACCUCUGCAAGCUGCCAGCCGGCAGGCUGGGCUGGGUGAGGAUCUCUUCGAAAGGCUCACCCUCAAGCACAGCAAGGAGC